CCUACGGGAGGCAGCAGUGGGGGAUAUUGCGCAAUGGGGGCAACCCUGACGCAGCAACGCCGCGUGAAGGACGAAGGUCUUCGGAUUGUAAACUUCUUUUGUCAGGGACGAAAUUUGACGGUACCUGACGAAUAAGCUCCGGCUAACUACGUGCCAGCAGCCGCGGUAAU
rnacentral:rRNA from 1 species